rnacentral:rRNA from 1 species
UGCCUAGUAACGGCGAGUGAACAGGCAAGAGCUCAGAUUUGAAAGGCACUUUUGUGCCGUUGUAUUCUGAAGUUAGGGUCCUGAGAAACGAUGCUUAAGUCUUCUGGAAAGGAGCGCCAUGGAGGGUGAUAGCCCCGUCUAGCAUUGACCUCAUAUAGGAUCUUAACAUGGAGUCGAGUUGUUUGGGAAUGCAGCUCAAAUGGGUGGUAUGCUCCAUCUAAAGCUAAAUAUCUGCGAGAGACCGAUAGUAAACAAGUACUGUGAGGGAAAGAUGAAAAGAACUUUGAAAAGAGAGUGAAAAAGUACGUGAAAUUGUUGAAAUGGAAGGGUAGGCCGCUAACCAUGUAGAGCCGUGUUUGGGGGGAAGAUAAAUGCUGUAGAAUGUAGCUCCUCGGAGUAUUAUAGAUGCAGUUCAUAUUCCCACCCGAGCGCGAGGAUCUCAGGUUCUACUAAAUGGUGGUCUACCACCCGUCUUGAACCACGGACCAA